rnacentral:rRNA from 1 species
UACGUAGGGCGCAAGCGUUAUCCGGAAUUAUUGGGCGUAAAGAGCUCGUAGGCGGUUUGUCGCGUCUGCCGUGAAAGUCCGGGGGCUCAACUCCGGAUCUGCGGUGGGUACGGGCAGACUAGAGUGAUGUAGGGGAGACUGGAAUUCCUGGUGUAGCGGUGAAAUGCGCAGAUAUCAGGAGGAACACCGAUGGCGAAGGCAGGUCUCUGGGCAUUAACUGACGCUGAGGAGCGAAAGGCAUGGGGAGCGAACAGG